GCUGGGUGUGGUGGUGCACAUCUGUAAUCCCAGCUACUCGGGAGGCUGAGGCAGGAGAAUCGUUUGAACCCAGGAGGCGGAGGUUGCAGUGAGCUGAGAUUGUGCCACUGCAUUCCAGCCUGGGCAAUAGAGUGAGACUCUGUCUCAA
rnacentral:SRP_RNA from 1 species